UCAUUUACAUACGUGAAUGCUACACUUUCGGUUAGAAAGUAUACUUGUUCACUUCAGUGCCACAACCUUGUCUAGAAAUGUAUAAUUUAUAAAAUUUAAUAUCUAAUGAUUAAUUAUUAGAAACUAAAUAGAUUUUAUAUUCCUAUCUAAUGAAAAAUGAUAGUUCAGUAAGCCCAGUUUUAGUUGAUUUCAUUAGUGAUCCUAUCUUAUGUUUAGCUCCCUCUUUUUGUAGUAGGGCCUGAAUAAAUGUUUGUGUUGACCCUGGAUCGGUGUUGGAUAGUUUGAAACACCUGCUUUUAGGAAGUUAUAGUAAAAAACACAGCUAAGUGUUCCAAACUUGGAAACAGAUCUAUUUGAUAUCUGAAUAGUUGUUAGUACAUAAAAAUCAGGGAAUACUCUUUGCUUUUAUUUUCCUUUCUUCUGAGAUAUGUAAACUGGAAGGCUUAAGUGUAUAAUUAGACUGGACUUAACUGAACGUUCCUAAGGGAGUUAUAGAAGUCCAGAUAGAGUGGGGUUAGGAAUUGCAGCUCUUCUGAUCAAUUUAGAAAAGCUUGAAGGGGAGGGGGGAAGAAAAAGGACUUAGGAAUUUUACAGAGUUAGAGGAGGGGAGGGUACAGUAACCACAGGGUACCAUUUUGAAAAGAUUUGGAGGGGGGAAUAAUAAUAGCUUUUGUUAUACAUUAUAAUUACUAGCUGGGAAAAACUGUUCCCAACAGAUUAUAUGUAUUUUCUCAUUUACAUAAUAGCCAUAUGAUACAAUGUUAUAUCAUGCCCAUUUUACCAGUAAAGCAUAUAUGGCGAGAGAUAAAGAGGUGCCCUAAGAUCACACAGCUAGUCAGGGGGAGGUUUUGACUUCAAAAUUCACACUCUUAACUAUGGUACUUUACUGCAGUAUUGGUAUUGCCUUAUUUGCUAUGAUGCAAUAGCUCUAAAGAAACUUGACUCAUAUGAGAUGAUUUGAAACAUAGGGCAUGAAAGAAGUAAUGUUGCUUAAAUUCCUCAAUGCAAAUCUUUCACCAGACUGUCUGUUUUGUUUACAGUUGUGUCUCCAUUAUCUAACCCAGUGCUGUAGAGUGGGUACUGGAAAAAUUCACGCUAUAAAUAAAUAAUUUUGAAGCAGAGGGUAAGAUUAUAGAUAUAUUGCAAAGAUCCUUAAGAUGACCUAAAAAUUACUGAAUCAGGUUAAGAAAAAAAGUAGGAAAAGUGCUGGUGGAAAAUAGUUCAAUAAGAAUGAAGUUAUAAUAAUCAUCAUUAAAGAUGACUAGGACCAGAGUUUAUAUCCAGGCAACAAGGAUAAAAAGGAAGGAGCCUUCAUUUAUAAGGUGAAAAGAUUUCAUGGGACAUAAGAGACUAUAAAGGUUAUUCUAGAGUCAAGAUUUGUAUGAUGCUGCAGUAACAAUAGCUGAUGUUUCAUGAAUAUUUACUUAGUGCCCUGCAGUAUGCUAGUGAUUCCUAUGUAUUAUCUCAUUUAAUCCUCAUAGUAACCCCUUGUGAGGCCUAGGCAAUUGGUGUACUUGAAACUUGCCCAUGGCAGUACAGCUAGAUAGUACAGCUAGAUAGAGAGAGAUAUGAAUAUGGAUUCAUAGAAAAAGGUAUAUUGCUACCAUGUAUAGGUUAGGAAUAGAGCAUCUAGUUACCAGUGCCUUGAAAGUCAGCUGCUUUGUUGGACUGAAACAAAAUGACAAGAUGGACAGGUUUGUGUAUUAGUUUAGUAUUAGCAGAAACUAGCUAGUUGUGCCAAAUGAUACUGGCUAGGAUGCUGAGACUUCAAAAGACGUUUUGAACUUUUGGAUGCAUUUGUUAUCACAAUGAUAGAUGAUUUAGGAGACACCUUUUCUUUGAUCAUACAGUACAUUUGUGAAGUGUAUUGUUGUUUCAUAUCAGAUUUUUUUUCAGAAAUUUGACUAUAGGGAGCACUGCCAAGAAUGUAGUCAUGGCAGUGAACUAGGUGCUGUGCAAAGGAAUUCUGGUAGCUGUUAGAAAUGUUUGUAAGAAUUUCUUCUGAACCUUGAGACAUUCAUUUAAAAAAAUUCUCUUUACUCAAAGACAGAACCAAGUGCCUGUUAAAGGGAUGCUUGAGUAUAUGGUAUAAGUGUUGCAGAAAUUUUGUAUGGCCAUUUAAAAAUUAUUAGGAUUUUCUUACCUACUUCACUCACAGCUUUCUCCUAACCCUUGCUGCUGAAAACUCUUAAAAUGAAGCCAGGCUUCUAGAACUGCCUGGGAGCAGGGAACUGACAAAUAAAAAAAAGAUACGGUUGCUCACAGAAACUAGGAAAAAAUAACGUUAGAGUGUAAUAAAUAAUUUUGUAUUUUAACAAAACAAAAUAAAAUUUAAGUUUUAAAUAUCUUACAGACACCUAGGUACUACAGAUUCUAGGAACCUUAAAAGGUUUCCUGUUUUGUAAUCCUGUAUAUUCCCUGGAUUCCUAAUCACAUGCCAUUACUGCAGGUCUUAUCUCUUGUGUUAAAAAUGGAUGCCUAUAUACUUAAAUACAUUUUUUAAGAAGGAAGUUACAAAGGCUCAAUUUUUUUGACUAUCUCCUUUCUUACUCUGAUUUUUUUCCUCUCAUCUAAUCAAUAAAUAAUUGAAUGCCUACUAUAUAUCAAGCUUUUUUUUUCUCUGCACCGGGAAUAUGGCAAUUAACAAAAUAGGCAGAAGUCUCUGUCUUCAUGGAGCUUACAUUGUAGUAUGUAUUGUAGCAUGGAGAGAUAGACAAUUAACAAAUUGUUUAGUAUAUACAUGAGGUUAGGGAUAAGAAGGAAAUAAUUUUUAGUCUAAAAAGGAAGGAUCAUUGAGAUAGGAGGAAAGCCAAUAGAAUGUGUUGUCUUGGAAUCGGAAGGGAAAAAAUGUUUUGAGGGGGAAGAAAUGAUUAGCUCUGUCAAAUUUUUUGAUGGAUCAAGUACAAGAUGAAAACAAAAAGAUGACCAUUGCAAUGUCGGUCCACGUGGAGGCCACUGGGCCCUGGUCAAGGGCAAUUUCUGUGGAAAAACUGGGAUAAACAGCAUCAUUGGUGUGGGCUCAAGAGCGAACAGGGACAAAUUAAAUACAGAUAGGAUAGUGUAUAGACACUAGUAAUAUGUAGAGUUUAUAUACUUGUAAAAGGGAGCAGAAAAAAAUGGAGUAAAAAUUGGAGAGUUAAGUGGGGUUGAGUUUUUGUUUUUAGAAAGGAGAAAUAACCUAUCUUGAUGGCAAAAUUGAUGAUACCAGAAAAAGUAAAUUGUUGAAUAGUAUGCCUCUUUGAAUUAAGGAUUGGAAUCUAGAGCACAAGUGGAAUGGAGAACAGAUGAUGCAUUAAUAAUAAUAAGAAAAAGCAGAGAAUAUGGAUUCAAAGGAAUGCCAAUGAAUUGAUGUGGUGGGAGCUAGUGGAAACUAUCUUUUGGUUGCCUUAGGUUUUUUUAGUGAAACAGAGCAUGGACAUCACCUGGGGAUGAUUGUGAGGGAGGAAAUUUGAAAAGUGAGGCAAAGUAUGAAUUGUCCUGUAGGAGAGUAAAGGAGUGAGUUAACUAUGGAAAUACAGUAUGUUUGGUGGCUGUAGCAUUUGGGGUCCUUUUGAGCUAAGUCAUCAUGAAUUUAAAGUGACUUUAAAGUUAACAUGAAUUUAAAGGUCAGCAUAGUUGUGUAUUUUUCUCCAGCCACGUUGAGCUGCAGGGGAAAGGACUGAAGUAAACAAGGAUUUAAUUAUGGUUAUAUUUCAGCCAACUAAGUUGAGUGCAACAAGAAGCGUAAGAGAGUUGUGGGUGGGGGGUGGGUAUGCAAGCAAGUGAUUUUAAUAACUGACCAUGGACCGAGCAUAUUAAAUUCAGUCUUGAAAAUGUGUACACAGGGAUGCAUGUAGGACAUCCAGGGGCAGUUUCCAAGUGUGAGUUGCAACAGUUGUUGUAGAGCUUAGUAGCAAGGUCAGAGCUGGAGAAAAGGAUUUGGGAAAGAAACAUUGUUACAGCUUGGGAGGUGUACCGUAACAUUAGAAGAGGAUUGAGAGAGGCAAGGCCCUGAUGGACGCGAGCAUUUAAGGAGUCAGGUAGAAGAAAGGAUCAGGCAGAAGAAUGAAACAAAACUCUGGGAUUAGAGCAGAAUUUUCUGUUUUCUUAUGAAUUUUGAAAACCCUGACAACAUUUUUUUUGUUUGCUUCCCAGCCCUUAAUAAAGCAAAACUAUAUAUUUGUUCACUUAAUUUGACUACUCUUAUUUAAUAUAUGUAGCCACAUAUAUUUUAGAUUUUUCAGACCCAUAAUUUUGACUUUCUUUACAGGACUUAAAUUUUUGUUUGUUAUAUUCUAGUGUAAGCAUAAUAUUUUGAAAUAAAUACGUAGUCACAAAAAGAAUGGCUAGAAGAGAGUUAAUAGAUAAGUAGCAAUCCAUUAUUAUUACUGAAGAAAAGAAGCAAACACCUUACCAACGCAGGGUUGGUAAACCCAGUUUUACAUUCAAAAGAGUGUCAUAUAUUAUCAAAUCUGUUUUAGAUUAAAUUAAACCCUAUAUCUGCUCUUCUUUUCUGAUACCUUUCUCUUCUAUAGACUAUAUCUUAUUUUACAUUUUAGUUAUUGAGUAAUAAUAACAGAUUUUUACAUGGCAAGCAAAUUAUGGUAGAAAAAUAUGGUUUGAUAAAAGGCUUGAUUUGGGGCCUGUUUUAAAGAAAGAAAUAUUUGGGGAAAACGUUUUUAAAUUGCCAUUUAGAAAUUCUACAUUUAAAUUCACCUCAAAGAGUAAAAGUAGUAUAUAUAAGUUAUGUAUAUCAGGUUUUAUGAUUUCAGAUACUAAGUAAUUUAGAAAUAUUUAAAAGUGCUUUGAAAAUGCAGUAGAUUGAAUCAGUCCAAAUAAUAGUGAUUUAAAAGAAAUAUAUUUUUUCUCUAUGAAGUACUUCAGGUGAUAAAGUCACUUAAGUAAUUACAUUAUUUGGGUUGAUUAUAGGUUGAAGCUUAAAUGAUACCUGUUCAGGGAUGAUAAAGUGAAUAUUGGUAUGUCACAUGUUUCUGUGACCCAGUUUAGAUCCAAGUAUGGACAUGUAAUACAAAUUCAGGAUUGGAUUUCACAUAAGUAUGGUGGUGAGGAGAGUUCCUUUGAUUUAAGAGAUUAAAAAUUAUAAUUUAACAGUAGGAUGAUCAGUAGUAGUUCAGGAUUCUAAGCUUGUCUGAGGAAAAAUCAGUCUAUCCCUUUUUAACAUCUUUCCAAUUUUAAUUUUAUUGCAGAUUCAACUGUCCUGUAAGUUCAGUGAAAAACAAGUAGUCUCAAGAAAAAAGUUCAUUUUAAUAGUGAAAUAUAUCUUAAGUGGUGUAAAGUAGUACAAAGCAUAAUUCUGCUGUGAUCAUGUUUGGUUUGGGCAUGUGGUUAUACAACUCUCCUCUUGACAUUGUUAUUUUAUUUUGUUUUAUUGUUAGUAGUUAUUACUUUAAGUAACCUCUGUACCCAUUGUGGGGCCUGAACUCAUGACCCCAACGUCAAGAGUUUCUUGUUCUACCUAUUGACUGAGCCAGCCUGGUAUACCCUUACAUUGUUAUUUUUAAAAAAUUUUGGAAAUACACCUGCACCAACAGAGCAGUGUACUUCUUUUCUCUUUGGAGUUUAUACAAUGGAGCUGCUCUACAUGAGAUAUCUAAAACAUGUUACUGUAAUUAAAAACUGUUUCUCAUUGAUAACCCAUUUAGUUUUUAAAAAGCAUAAAUUCUGAUAUGAUUCUUAAGGAACUUAAAGUUGUCUUUGCAAAGUAUUUCUAAGUUGUAUUCCUCAUAAGAAAAAAUAGAAAAUCAUACUUUGAGGAUCCUUUUCAAUGAUCACACUUCACAAGAUGCAGUGUUUUUUUUGUUUUGUUUUGUUUUGUUUUUUGCAUAUUUAAGAUAGAGAUUAAUCAGUUUUUCAGAAAGAAAUGCCAUAUUGGACCCUCAAUUCUUUGGGAUUCUGGUUUUUUUUUUUGGGGGGGGGGGUGUUCUUUCAUCUGAUGAAUAGAGGAAGGGUAAGAUAAGUGUUGGAGUUGGAAGGUCCCAAACCUUGGUCUUCUAUUUUUACUGCAAUGGGGCCAAAGAUAAAUAUGGCUGAAAAAAAAAAAAAAAAGACCUCGACUAUUUCCCAGACCCAUUUGUCUCUUGCAUACAAGCUGAAUGGUCAUAUGUUUUACAGUGUUCCUUGAGAAAAAGAUAAUUGUACUUGUGCGGAGCUAUUAUAAUUGUAAAGAAAGUUUUAAAAAACAGAAUGUAAGGUUAGUGCAUACUAAAGACUGAACAGUUUACCUUCAGGCAUGCUGAGAAAAAAAUUGUUUUACUUGAAUAUAACUUUACUGUUAAUAGCUACAUCCGAUAUAUAACAAUAACAGUAUGUUUUCAUAGAGUAUUAAUUUUUCCUAAAACAGCAUCUACUGGCUUUUCUUGGGUAAUUGUAAAAUUUUCUCCCAAACCAUACGUGGACAUGCAGUGAACAAUUAUUUAAUGAUACCAGAAAAAAACACAAGAUUGCAUCUCUCUUAACAAAUAAAAAAUCCUUACUGAGGUGCUAACAGUGAAAAUAAUUUUUACAUUUUUUGCUUACUUAUGCUUUCUUAUUUUUCAUAUUACUUGAUUUAUUCAAUAAAUAUGUAUUGAAUGCCUACUUUAUACUAAGAAGUUAUUUGAACAGUGAAAAAUACAUAAAUCAGCAUCUUGGAGCUCCCAUUCUGCUUUGGGCAAGAUAAAUAAUAAACAGUAACAUACUAAAUAAGCAAAUUGUUAGCAUGUAAGCGCUGUGGAGAAAAAAGAAGGGGAAAUAGGGAUUGUGGUGCUGAGGGUCAAGGCAAAUUUCAAUAUUCUGUGAGAAAAUUAGAGUGGAACUUAGUAACAUAUAGCAAAUACAAUAAAUAAAUACAAUAAAAGGGAAAAUUAAGAAAAUAGUUAACACAAUUAUGUUUUCU